UACAGAGGAUGCAAGCGUUAUCCGGAAUGAUUGGGCGUAAAGCGUCUGUAGGUGGCUUUUUAAGUCCGCCGUCAAAUCCCAGGGCUCAACUCUGGACAGGCGGUGGAAACUACCAAGCUGAAGUACGGUAGGGGCAGAGGGAAUUUCCGGUGGAGCGGUGAAAUGCGCAGAUAUCAGGAGGAACACCGGUGGCGAAGGCGGGACUCUGGGCCGAUACUGACGCUGAGGAGCGAAAGCGUGGGGAGCAAACAGG
rnacentral:rRNA from 1 species